rnacentral:rRNA from 1 species
AUGAACCCUGCAGUCGAUUUGGGCAGGAAAACGCUUACGUGGCAUAGUCAACUAGGAUUCUUCUGUCAGGUGGGCCAGUUGACCGGUGCACGCGCGGGUGGGAUAUAUCCCGAUCCAAAUCGAAUUGGGGAAUUCCUCAGCACAACUAGGGUUAGCCCGGCGGCGGCCAGGGAGAGAGGAGUGGCGAUUGGUGCGGCGGCGCCGGCGGCGCCGGCGGACACUGCGAUGUCGUGGUCAUCAGGCGGUUCUUCUGCUCCUGGAUUCCGGCGAGCGUCGGGAAGGAGGGACACGGAUGCGAGGUCGCCGGUGCGCUAUCGUGAGCAGCCUAUGGCAUACGAGCCGGCGAAGUUAUGCCACUGCAAUCCGCGGCGGAAAGCACCGAGAUGGAUUUCUUGGAGCCGUCAGAACCCGGGGAGGAGGUAUUACGCGUGCGUCAAUGCAGUGCAUGGUGGUUGUGGGUAUGUUGAACGGCAUGAUGAUCCGUUGCCAAAGUUUUUUAGUGACUUAAUUGGAGAUUUGAGAGAUGAGGUGUGGAGGUUGAAGGGUGGAGGUACUGUUGCUCGAACUGAAGAUGCAUUUGCAGCUGUGGCUAUGAGUAAGGAUGAAGCAGGAGGUGAAAUGCUGGCUAUGUCUCUGCAAGAGCAGUUGAGGUUGAAGAAUGAAGAAAUGGAUGCAAUGAAGAGCAAGUAUAUGAAUGUGAUAUUUGUCCUGAUUGUCUUUGUGCUUGGUUUAGUGCUAGGGAAAUUUGUAGUGAACUGA